rnacentral:rRNA from 1 species
GGGCUUGCCCUGGGGCAGAGCCGCGAACGGGUGAGUAACACGUGGGUAACGUACUCCGAUGACUGGGACAACCCGGGGAAACCCGGGCUAAUACCGGAUAUGCUCCCUCACAUCAGUAAGACGAGUAAAGGAAGCUUCGGCCUCCGCAUUGGGAUCGGCCCGCGGCGCAUUAGCUUGUUGGUGAGGUAACGGCUCACCAAGGCUUCGAUGCGUAGCUGGUCUGAGAGGACGAUCAGCCACACUGGGACUGAGACACGGCCCAGACUCCUACGGGAGGCAGCAGUGGGGAAUCUUGCGCAAUGCGCGAAAGCGUGACGCAGCAACGCCGCGUGGGGGAAGACGGCCUUCGGGUUGUAAACCCCUUUCAGUUGGGACGAAGGUCGGGCGGUUAAUAGCCGUUCUGGCUGACGGUACCUUCACAAGAAGCCCCGGCUAACUACGUGCCAGCAGCCGCGGUAAUACGUAGGGGGCAAGCGUUGUCCGGAAUCAUUGGGCGUAAAGAGCGUGUAGGCGGCCCGAUAAGUCCGCUGUGAAAGUCGAGGGCUCAACCCUCGAAUGCCGGCGGAUACUGUCGGGCUAGAGUCCGGAAGAGGCGAGUGGAAUUCCUGGUGUAGCGGUGAAAUGCGCAGAUAUCAGGAGGAACACCUACGGCGAAGGCAGCUCGCUGGGACGGUACUGACGCUGAGACGCGAAAGCGUGGGGA